rnacentral:rRNA from 1 species
GACGAACGCUGGCGGCGUGCCUAAUACAUGCAAGUAGGACGCAGUUGCGAACGGGUGAGUAACGCGUAGGUAACUACCUAUUAGAGGGGGAUAACUAUUGGAAACGAUAGCUACUACCGCAUACUAGUAGAUGGACCUGCGUUGUAUUAGCUAGUAGGUAGGGUAAUGGCCUACCUAGGCAACGAUACAUAGCCGACCUGGGAGGGUGAUCGGCCACAAUGGGACUGAGACACGGCCCCGACGCCGACGGGAGGCAGCAGGAGGGAAUCUUCGGCAAUGUGGGGAACCCUGACCGAGCAACGCCGCGUGAGUGAAGAAGGUUUUCGGAUCGUAAAGCUCGGUUGUUAAGGAAGCGGUACUUAACCAGAAAGGGACGGCUAACUACGUGCCAGCAGCCGCGGUAAUUC